rnacentral:tRNA from 1 species
GGGGUCAUAGCUCAGUUGGUAGAGCGCCGCCCUUGCAAGGCGGAGGUCUGGGGUUCGACUCCCCAUGGCUCCA